rnacentral:rRNA from 1 species
UACGAAGGGGGCUAGCGUUGCUCGGAAUCACUGGGCGUAAAGCGCACGUAGGCGGCUUUUUAAGUCAGGGGUGAAAUCCUGGAGCUCAACUCCAGAACUGCCUUUGAUACUGAGAGCUUGAGUCCGGGAGAGGUGAGUGGAACUGCGAGUGUAGAGGUGAAAUUCGUAGAUAUUCGCAAGAACACCAGUGGCGAAGGCGGCUCACUGGCCCGGUACUGACGCUGAGGUGCGAAAGCGUGGGGAGCAACA